rnacentral:lncRNA from 1 species
UAAAAAAUGGUAAAUAUUUUCAGAAUUAUGUGUUGAAAAGAUGAAGGGUCAAGUUUUGGUGGGCUGCUUCCAUUUCCCUGGCUGCACAUAACCAAAAUCUCUCUUCAACUACUUUUAUUUCAGUUUGGUAAAUUUUAAUAGAUUAUAAGAAAUCCAAGAAGCUGUGGAAAAAAAAAAACAACCAAAAAAAAUAUCCUUUAUCUGUGAAAUUGUUUUCUGUUUGGUUUGGUUUGCAUUGUGCAUUAUGGUUUUUCCCCAAGGAAAAGAAAAGAUGUUCAAAAGGAAAGUUGGAGGCUGGAAUUCAUCAUUUGCGUUCAUAGAGAGGAUUAACAAAUGAUAAUUACUGAAUGUCUGGAAGUAAAAUGUACAGCUAACAGAGUGUCCUGUGGGAUGUGCCACCUUGGGCUGCACUGUCAGGACAUCAGGAGCUACAAGCAGAACAGGUGAAUCAGGCGGAAUUCCUGAGGAAUGAUGGCCUCGUGUGGUGUU